GAUGCAGGCAGGCUCUGAACCCAGGCUCAGAAGGGCCUUCCUUCUGCUACUGGUGCUACUUUGUGGAUUUGCAGCAACAGCAGUGGUAUCAGUGGUGUUCUACAUGCAUAUCCCCGGGCACCUGAUAUUCCUGUGAAGAGGGGCCCUGGGACCACACACCCUCCUAGGGACUGGCCUAGAAAAUGUACAUAUAGAGCCUUAAACAAAAUGUUUUCUGGAGAAAUCAAUAAAGCCCCUUCAUGCCUGUUUCUGGGGAGCACCUGGAACCAACAAAGCUGGUCACGUUCACAGGCAAGCCAAAAGAGAGAGCCAGGACGCAGGUCCGAGGCCCCCGCCGGAAGCCUGAAGAGCGGUCAGGGUCACAGGUGUGAGCCUCUAGAAGACAAAGCAUGGUUCGCAGAAGGGCCUCAGAGACUGACCCACAAGGGCCAAGAUCGAGUCGCCAUGUGCAUGGAAGGACCACGGGGGUGAACGAUGGGCUUGCACGCCAGCAAAACAGAUUAUUCAAAAGACGAGGCGUAAAGCCAGACCCAGAGGGCCACAUGUUGUUGAGUCCAUUUAUAUGAAGUGUCCAGAACAGGCAGAUCCAGAGAGACAGGAAGUGGAUUAAUAGUUGCCAGGGGCUGGGCAGGCGGGGGGAGAUGGAGAGUGACUGCUAGUGGGUACAGGGUUUCCAUCUGGGGGGAUGAAAAUGUUCUGGAACUAGAUGGUACUGAUGGUUGCCCAAGGCUCUGAAUAUUUUAAAAACCACUGGAUUAUACAUUUUUAAAUGGUUAAAAUGGUGAAUCUUAUGUUACAUGAAUUCUAUGUUUAAAAAGGGGGGGAUGGGGAUUUCCCCUUGUGGCUCAGUGGGAACAAAACUGACUAGGAACCAUGAGGUUGCGGGUGUGAUCCCUGGCCUCGCUCAGUGGGUUAAGGAUCCGGUGUUGCCAUGAGCUGUGGUGUAGGUUGAAGACGCGGCUCGGAUCCCGCAUUGCUGUGGCUGUGGCGUAGGCUGGUGGCUGCAGCUCCGAUUUGAACCCUAGCCUGAGAACUUUCACAUGCUGCACAUGUGAUCCUAAAAAAGUUUAAAAAAUAAAUGAAAAUUUAAAUAAAUAAAAAUAAAAAAUAAAAGGGGGGGGGCAGAAACUUGAAUACUAACAGGAGUUCAGGGAAGACAGAAAAGAGUGACACCUGCCAGAGGACUGCAAAUCAAGCCCUAAGAAUACUCUCUAAGCCACCGAGGCUCGCACACACUCCCUUUCCCAGACCCUCCGGCCCGGCUGUCCCGUAUCAACUUGUGGUGCCACCAAAGACGCAGAGAUACAUCUGGCUUAAAAGAAAGACAACAGAGCACAGUGAGGAAGGAUCCCGAACCCUGGACUCUGCGCCGGGAAGUCGGUGGAAAUGGUGGGGACUGAGAAAGGGGCACAUGCCGCCCCCCCCCAGGGCCCCUCAGUGCCCACCUGUUAGAGCCACGAGGGGGAGCAGUGCAGGCCUGGUGUUGCCAGGAAUCCACAGUAACUCAGAGUAAGGAGGCAGGCCACCACCAGAGUCAGAGGAGGAAGCAGGGGACUGUUUAACAGCUUGGAAUCAGGGCUUGGAUUUGAACCUGACCAAGAUCAGAGCCCCACAGCCACCUGGUGAAAACCUCCAGGACAGUAUUUGGGGUGUGGGUAUGGAGCUGGGGAGAGGUGACGGGGUGGGACUGAUGCAGUCUCGGGGUCUGAGAGUGGGCUGGAUUUUGAUCAACCUCUUCCCCCACCUUCCCUCUAUCCAUCCAUCGGUGAGAUCAGACCUUCCCACCAUUCAGCCUUGGAGCCCCCUCCCACUUCUGUCCUCUCUCCUGAGAGCCAGCCAGGUCCAAGCUCAGAGCAGGCUGGCAAAUCCCUAGGCAGGGUCGGCUCCAAGCCAGUGGGCCUGGGGCCCAUUUCACCUCCUCUCAAUGCACAGCAGGUGGGAAAACCACUAGGUCAUCUUGGUCCUGGAGUCUCUGUGUUGCCAAGCAGUGCAGACAGGGCUAGAGUGCGGGAGGGGGGCAGACAGGAACUAGAGGGGGGAAGAGGUCUGGUACCUCCCUCUUAGUACUGUCCUUCAGGGUUUCGGGGCCUUCUGAGAAACUGACAAUUGAGACUUUGAUGUGAAACCUCCUGACUUUUUUUUUGGUCUUUUUAGGGCCGCUCCUGCGGCACACGGAGGUUCCCAGGUUAGGGGUCGAAUUGGAGCUGCAGCCACCGGCCUAUACCACAGCCAAAGCAGCACAGGAUCUGAGCCAUGUCUGCAACCUACACCACAGCUCACGGCAAUGCUGGAUCCUUAACCCACAAAGAAAGGCCAGGGAUUGAACCUGCAACCUCAUGGUUCCUAGUCAGAUUCGUUUCCGCCACACCACAACAGGAACUCCAAGACCUCCUGACUGUUAAGUGUACGCUCACAGUUUUGGAAGACAUUGUGUGAGUCCAAUAAAACAUGUGGGUGGGGGGUGGGUUGUGGGCAUACAGCCAGUGAGCUGGCUUCAGCGUCCCCCCCCCGCCCCGCCCCCGCCCCGAUUGUAUGAAUGGGGAAAUGGAGGCCAGGACAGAGAAGGGGCCAGCAAGCCAGGACCACGCUAAGUCCCUCGGCUCCCUCACCCCAUUCUGGGCUGCCACAGCCCUUGGCGAGCACCCACACAUUCCAGGAACUGAGGACGCCAAGAGAAGGGGCCUUGGCCCCUGGCC
rnacentral:lncRNA from 1 species